GCUGCUUUACACAUGCAAGUCGAACGGCAGUACUGACCUAGCUUGCUAGGUUGAUGGCGAGUGGCGAACGGGUGAGUAAUGCACCGGAACGUACCCAGUAAUGGGGGAUAACGCACCGAAAGGUGUGCUAAUACCGCAUACGCCCUGAGGGGGAAAGCGGGGGAUCGUAAGACCUCGCGUUAUUGGAGCGGCCGAUGCCGGAUUAGCUAGUUGGUGGGGUAAAGGCCUACCAAGGCGACGAUCCGUAGCUGGUCUGAGAGGACGACCAGCCACACUGGGACUGAGACACGGCCCAGACUCCUACGGGAGGCAGCAGUGGGGAAUUUUGGACAAUGGGCGCAAGCCUGAUCCAGCCAUGCCGCGUGAGUGAAGAAGGCCUUCGGGUUGUAAAGCUCUUUCGCAAGGAAAGAAAACUUAGCUACUAAUACUAGCUGAGGAUGACGGUACCUUGAUAAGAAGCACCGGCUAACUACGUGCCAGCAGCCGCGGUAAUACGUAGGGUGCGAGCGUUAAUCGGAAUUACUGGGCGUAAAGCGUGCGCAGGCGGUUCGAUAAGUCUGAUGUGAAAUCCCCGGGCUCAACCUGGGAACUGCGUUGGAAACUG
rnacentral:rRNA from 1 species